rnacentral:ncRNA from 1 species
AACAACGCUAAUAGUAAUUGAACUUAGUACGAGAGGAACCGUUCAUUCAGAUAAUUGGUUUUUGCGGCUGUCUGAUCAGGCAACGCCGCGAAGCUACCAUCUGCUGGAUUAUGGCUGAACGCCUCUAAGUCAGAAUCCAUGCUAGAAAGCGAUGAUUUUUGCCCUGCACAUUUUAGAUGGAUACGAAUAAGACUUUUAAUAGUCGCUGGACCAUAGCAGGCUGGCAGCGGUGCACUUAGCGGAAAGGCUUUGUGUGCUUGCCGGCGAAUAGCAAUGUCAACAUGCGCGGGGAUAAAUCCUUUGCAUACGACUUAGAUGUACAACGGAGUAUUGUAAGCAGUAGAGUAGCCUUGUUGUUACGAUCUGCUGAGAUUAAGCUUCAGUUGUCUGAUUU